GCCGAGGUAGCCCAAAGGAAGAGGCGACCGGCUCAAACCCGGUACAGCGCGGGUUCGACCCCCGCUCUCGGCAC
rnacentral:tRNA from 1 species